rnacentral:rRNA from 1 species
GACGAACCGUACAAACGUUGUUCGGAAUCACUGGGCUUAAAGGGCGCGUAGGCGGGCAAGCAAGUCGAAGGUGAAAUCCCACGGCUCAACCGUGGAAGUGCCCCCGAUACUGCUUGUCUUGAGGGAGAUAGGGGCGUGCGGAACUUCCGGUGGAGCGGUGAAAUGCGUAGAUAUCGGAAGGAACACCGGUGGCGAAAGCGGCGCGCUGGAUCUCUUCUGACGCUGAGGCGCGAAAGCCAGGGGAGCAAACGGG